AACGAACGCUGGCGGCAGGCUUAACACAUGCAAGUCGAACGCACUCUUCGGAGUGAGUGGCAGACGGGUGAGUAACGCGUGGGAAUCUACCUAGUUCUACGGAAUAACGCAGGGAAACUUGUGCUAAUACCGUAUACGCCCUACGGGGGAAAGAUUUAUCGGAAUUAGAUGAGCCCGCGUGAGAUUAGCUAGUUGGUGGGGUAAUGGCCUACCAAGGCGACGAUCUCUAGCUGGUCUGAGAGGAUGAUCAGCCACACUGGGACUGAGACACGGCCCAG
rnacentral:rRNA from 1 species